AUACGUAGGUGACAAGCGUUAUCCGGAUUUAUUGGGUUUAAAGGGUGCGCAGGCGGCCAUUUAAGUCAGCGGUUAAAUCGUGGGGCUCAACCCCAUUCUGCCGUUGAUACUGGGUGGCUUGAUUGCGGUCGAGGUUGGCGGAAUUCGUUGUGUAGCGGUGAAAUGCAUAGAUAUGACGAAGAACACCGAUUGCGUAGGCAGCUGACCAGACCGCAAAUGACGCUCAUGCACGAAAGUGCGGGGAUCGAACAGGAUUAGAUACCCUGGUAGUCCGCACAGUAAACGAUGAAUACUUGUUUUCGGCGAUAUAAUGUCGGAGGCAAAGCGAAAGCGAUAAGUAUUCCACCUGGGGAGUACGCCGGCAACGGUGAAACUCAAAUGAAUUGACGGGG
rnacentral:rRNA from 1 species